rnacentral:misc_RNA from 1 species
GAAAUUUCAACAAAAGCUUACUCCCAACAACUGCCACUUUAGACUUACAAAUGAAGAAAAACUUGAAGACGACUUCCUUAACGAUGUAUUCCAAAAACUUGGCAUAGCGGGCGAUGGACCUGAGAGAGAAUCUAUAAGCACCGACGAAAAGAAUCAUAUCUCUAAGUUUCCGACCGUCGAAGAAAAAUCUUGGCUGUUGGUCAAAUUUGAGGAGUACUCAGUAUUCGGUGUAAUUGUUUCCAGCGAUUUUCUGGCAAGUCUUAAAUACGACGUUCUCAUUUUCAUGACUCUUCGGGAGCUAGGAUUCGAUUGCAAUUGUCCUCUUUUAUCUCUUGAAUAA